rnacentral:rRNA from 1 species
AUUGAACGCUGGCGGCAGGCCUAACACAUGCAAGUCGAGCGGAUGAAGGGAGCUUGCUCCUGGAUUCAGCGGCGGACGGGUGAGUAAUGCCUAGGAAUCUGCCUGGUAGUGGGGGAUAACGUCCGGAAACGGGCGCUAAUACCGCAUACGUCCUGAGGGAGAAAGUGGGGGUUCUUCGGACCUCACGCUAUCAGAUGAGCCUAGGUCGGAUUAGCUAGUUGGUGGGGUAAAGGCCUACCAAGGCGACGAUCCGUAACUGGUCUGAGAGGAUGAUCAGUCACACUGGAACUGAGACACGGUCCAGACUCCUACGGGAGGCAGCAGUGGGGAAUAUUGGACAAUGGGCGAAAGCCUGAUCCAGCCAUGCCGCGUGUGUGAAGAAGGUCUUCGGAUUGUAAAGCACUUUAAGUUGGGAGGAAGGGCAGUAAGUUAAAACCUUGCUGUUUUGACGGUACCAACAGAAUAAGCACCGGCUAACUUCGUG